CAGCACAUACGUACAGUUCAGGUGGUACUGCAGGAGCUGAGGCAGGCAGACCUGAUGGCCCACCCCAAGAAAUGUGCGCUGGGGCAAGCUGAGAUGAAGUACCUCAAAUUUUUGUUGGGGCAAGGCCGAAUCAUACCAUUGGCUGAUAAGAUGGCCACUAUACAGAGGUAUGAGAUCCCACAGAUGAAAAAGCAAAUGAGGACAUUCCUAGACCUAGCCAACUACUAUAGGCAGUUCAGUCCCCAUUUUGCAGGGCUUAUAGCCCCCCUCACAAAUGCAAUCAAAGGAAAAGGAAACAGAACCAUAAUACUAGAGUAAGAACAGAGGAAGGCCUUUGAAGGAGUCAAAUGGGCCCUCUGCAGGGAAGUGGUGUUACACACACCAGAUUUUUCAAUGCCAUCUAUCCUGCAGGUCGAUACAUCAGGCCAAGCACUGGGGGCAGUCUUAUCCCAGAAAGUGGAGGGGGAAAGAGACUGGUAGCCUACACCAGCAGAAAGCUCAACGAUUGAGAAAGAAGGGACACAUUGGAAGACUCAAGGCCUUCAGGGGGAAGCAUCGCCACCCAUGCACCUGAGACCAGGACAAUGCCCAAAGCCUGCAGAACAGGGGAGUGACACCGGAGAGAAACCAGCACAGAGGCUGGGACCAAAACUGGAGCUACAGGGGAGCCAAAAGGCAUUCAUGAAAAAUCAAUUUACAUGGGAGAAGUUACAGAAUUGCAACAUACUUACACAACAGGGCAUGGGGACAAGAUGGGAACAAGAUGGGAAUGGAUAUUUGACAUCACUUUACAGACACUGGCCUAAACCAUACAAUAUUAAUAUGAAACAAUAAAAAUCAAUGCACAAAUGAUAGGAAUACAAUAUAAUACAAUAUAAAACAGUAAAAAUCAAUACAAACAUAACAUAACAGAACACUAUUUACAAUAUAUAAAAAAGGGGUUUAUUACAAUAAAAGUA